rnacentral:snRNA from 1 species
GGAUGUGAGGGCAAUCUGGCUGUGACAUCUGUCACCCCAUUGAUUGCCAGUGUUGAUUUGGCUAAUCUGGUUGGCUAGACCAGUGUCCCCUUCCUCCCUCACCACUCC